AAUUCUGCCUUGUUGACUUCAGAAUCGUCAAGCACUUUAUGUGAAGCGUGCCCUUAAGCUAUCCUCUACAAGACCCAGAUUUGAGUGUCUGCAUGAUGAAGAUGUGAAAGAAGAAACUGAGCGAUAUUGAACAUCACAGGUGAGAUUGAUAAGGAAUAUGGCUCUUACCAUUGGGAAGUAUUUAGGGGUACUGAA
rnacentral:lncRNA from 13 species